rnacentral:rRNA from 1 species
CCCUUAGAUGUUCUGGGCCGCACACGCGCUACACUGAAGGAGGCAGCGUGUACUCCUGGAUCGAAAGAUUUGGGUAACCCGCGAAUCUCCUUCGUGCUAGGGAUUGAGGUUUGCAAUUAUCCUUCAUGAACGAGGAAUUCCCAGUAAGCGCAAGUCAUAAGCUUGCGCUGACUACGUCCCUGCCCUUUGUACACACCGCCCGUCGCUACUACCGAUUGAAUGAUUUAGUGAGGACUUCGGACUGGGACCGAUGCGGCUUUCGGGCUGCGUCGGUAUUCUGGGAAGAUGUUCAAACUGUAUCAUUUAGAGGAAGUAAAAGUCGUAACA